rfam:Salmo salar isolate Sally breed double haploid chromosome ssa01, whole genome shotgun sequence.
AUGUAUGAAAUGUGUAAGUCGCUCGGGAUAAGAGCGUCUGCUAAAUGACUCAAA